rnacentral:rRNA from 1 species
AUUGAACGCUGGCGGCAGGCCUAACACAUGCAAGUCGAGCGGAGCGGCGGACGGGGGAGUAAGGCCUAGGAAUCUGCCUGGUAGUGGGGGAUAACGUCCGGAAACGGGCGCUAAUACCGCAUACUAUCAGAUGAGCCUAGGGUGGAUUAGCUAGUUGGUGGGGUAAAGGCCUACCAAGGCGACAAUCCGUAACUGGUCUGAGAGGAUGAUCAGUCACACUGGAACUGAGACACGGGCCAGACUCCUACGGGAGGCAGCAGUGGGGAAUAUUGGACAAUGGGCGAAAGCCUGAUCCAGCCAUGCCGCGUGAGUGAAGAAGGUCUUCGGAUUGUAAAGCUCUUUAGGUUGGGAGGCGUUAUCAACAGAAAAAGCACCGGCUAACUACGUGCCAGCAGCCGCGGUAAUAC